rnacentral:rRNA from 1 species
UACGUAGGCAGCAGGCGUUGUUCGGAGUUACUGGGCGUAAAGGGUGCGUAGGCGGCUUCUUAAGUCUGGUGUGAAAUCUCCCGGCUCAACUGGGAGGGUGCGCCGGAUACUGAGGGGCUAGAGUGUGGGAGAGGAAAGUGGAAUUCCUGGUGUAGCGGUGAAAUGCGUAGAUAUCAGGAGGAACACCGGUGGUGUAAACGGCUUUCUGGACCAUAACUGACGCUGAGGCACGAAAGCGUGGGUAGCAAACAGG